AUUGAACGCUGGCGGCAGGCUUAACACAUGCAAGUCGAGCGGAGAGAGGUAGCUUGCUACUGAUCUUAGCGGCGGACGGGUGAGUAAUGCUUAGGAAUCUGCCUAUUAGUGGGGGACAACAUUUAGAAAGGAAUGCUAAUACCGCAUACGUCCUACGGGAGAAAGCAGGGGAUCUUCGGACCUUGCGCUAAUAGAUGAGCCUAAGUCGGAUUAGCUAGUUGGUGGGGUAAAGGCCUACCAAGGCGACGAUCUGUAGCGGGUCUGAGAGGAUGAUACGCCACACUGGGACUGGGACACGGCCCAGACUCCUACGGGAGGCAGCAGUGGGGAAUAUUGGACAAUGGGCGGAAGCCUGAUCCAGCCAUGCCGCGUGUGUGAAGAAGGCCUUAUGGUUGUAAAGCACUUUAAGCGAGGAGGAGGCUACUUUAGUUAAUACCUAGAGAUAGUGGACGUUACUCGCAGAAUAAGCACCGGCUAACUCUGUGCCAGCAGCCGCGGUAACAC
rnacentral:rRNA from 1 species